rnacentral:tRNA from 1 species
GGUGGCUCAGUGGUAGAGCGUUUGCCUUGAAUGCGUGAUGCCCUAGGUUCGAUUCCUCAGCACCA